UCUUUAUGGCUGAAUAAUAUUCUGUUGUCUGGAUAUACCACAUUUUGUUUAUCCAUUCAUCAGCUGAUGGACAUUCAGAUUGUUUCCACUUUUCAGGCUGUUAUGAAUUAUGCUGCUUUAAACGUUCCUGAAAAGUUAUUGUGAGG